UGGGGAAUAUUGGACAAUGCGGGAAACCGUGAUCCAGCAAUGCCGCGUGAGUGAUGAAGGCCUUAGGGUUGUAAAGCUCUUUUACCAGGGAUGAUAAUGACAGUACCUGGAGAAUAAGCUCCGGCUAACUCCGUGCCAGCAGCCGCGGUAAUACGGAGGGAGCUAGCGUUGUUCGGAAUUACUGGGCGUAAAGCGCGCGUAGGCGGCUAUUCAAGUCAGGGGUGAAAUCCCGGGGCUCAACCCCGGAACUGCCCUUGAAACUAGGUAGCUAGAAUACUGGAGAGGUGAGUGGAAUUCCGAGUGUAGAGGUGAAAUUCGUAGAUAUUCGGAAGAACACCAGUGGCGAAGGCGACUCACUGGACAGUUAUUGACGCUGAGGUGCGAAAGCGUGGGGAGCAAACAGGAUUAGAUACCCCCGUAGUCC
rnacentral:rRNA from 1 species